AGAACAUUGGUCUACAGGUCAGCUCACAGCCUAUCAGGGAGUCUGGUGCAAACAUGUACAUGGAAGGGAAGCAGUGAUGAGACCAACCAACCAGAUGUUUUGUCUCAAGAGCCUGAGCCCAUCAUAUGAGAAAAUUACUCAGAGGAAUAGAAGUCAAAAGACACACAGAGAGCGAGAAGCAGGAAGGAGAGUUCACAGCUCAGCAGAGAACCUAGCAGUGUCAGCCGCCGUCAUUCCUGGGAUCAAGUUAACCUCACUGAGAAGGACAGGCCUCCCAGGCUGCUUAUGCUGUUCAGUGCACCACCAGGAGAAAGGGAAUCCUCAUGGUCCCCGCCGCCAUAUUAGUAUCAAAUAGAUCGUCAAAUGACAACACCUACUGGUUUCAACUUGGAGCUUUGGACAUCUGUCAUGUGACACGGCCUACUUUUGAACAAUGCCAGUUAUGACAUCUUUCUGUGCCCAUCAAUCUGUGGCUUGGCACAGCACCAGGUUCAUGCUUGGAGAGCAGUGAAAACAUACAGAAAUACCCUCUGUCUAUGUCAGGUUGAAUGCCUGUGGUGUUGGGUUCUAACUCCAAAACCACUUGCUUAGUGGGCAAGCAAUUCAGUCUUCGAGGUCUCCAUUUGCUCCCCUGUAAAUGAGGGUGUAAUAGUUGCUUCUCUGUUUGGGCUGUGGAGAGGUUUAAAAUAGCAAAUGUGUGAAAGUCUAUACAUAACGAGCCCUGAGACAUGAACUGCACUGAGUGGGAGGAAACUGUGCUUUUUGUGAAAGUCGCAUGUUUUAGCCUCUUCCAAUAGAAAUCCAACACAUCUCAGGGUGCAGGUUCUUUCUGACAGAAAGGCAGACAUUUAAGGGCUGGGAAAAUGGCUCAGUGGGUAAGAACACUUGUUGUAUAAUCAUGAGGACCUGAGUUCAGAUUCCCCAGGGUCACUCACACUUAAAAAAAAAAUCAGAUGUGGCCACACUCAAUUGUUAACACUAGUGCUGGGGUAGAGGGAGACAGGAGGAUGGUUGGGAUUGUUGGCCACGAGACUAACAAAACAAACUGACAGCAACUGGAAAAGGUGAGCUCCAGGCUUAGAGAGAGCGAGAAGCUGUUUCAAGAGAUAAGAGGAACUAUUUCAAGACAUGGUAGAGGAGAGCACCAGAUGUUCUCUCCUGGCUUCUGCACUUACACAUAUGCAUAAAUGAUCACACACAUACGUGCAUGCAUGCAUAUACACACUCUCUCAAGUGAGAACGCACACAGACACACAUCCAUGUACAUGUACACAUGCGUGGCACACAUUCAUGUCGGCAAGCUGAAAGGUUAAAAAUUUUUGCAGAUUGGAAUUUAGAACUAAAUAGAGUUAUUUGUAUUAUUUUAAGAACCUCAAAAAGGGAUAUUAUUACGGUCAUACUAAUAAACACAUCUCAAUCAAUUUUUUUUAUGAAAGA
rnacentral:lncRNA from 1 species